UACGUAGGGGGCUAGCGUUGUCCGGAAUCAUUGGGCGUAAAGAGCGUGUAGGCGGUCCGGUAAGUCCGCUGUGAAAGUCCAGGGCUCAACCCUGGAAAGCCGGUGGAUACUGUCGGGCUCGAGUCCGGAAGAGGCGAGUGGAAUUCCUGGUGUAGCGGUGGAAUGCGCAGAUAUCAGGAGGAACACCAAUAGCGAAGGCAGCUCGCUGGGACGGUACUGACGCUGAGGCGCGAAAGCGUGGGGAGCGAACAGG
rnacentral:rRNA from 1 species